rnacentral:lncRNA from 1 species
GUUCUGAGACCAUUGUGCAUGAAAAUGGGAUAAGGUUUAUCAAAAAUGCUGCCAGAAGCUGGUGUCUGGCUUUGCAUCACGUUUGUAGCAGGUGACAGCAAAGCGGUUCCCCACUAAGGACUGAAGACACAUGGGACAGGGCCUAAAUAAUUGCUGCAGUGUUCAAUAGUAUGUAUUCUGCCCCAACAGUACUUCUCUGACUUGAAGUCAUCACCAGUUUCACAGGAAAGAGAUGGCCAGUUUGGUGACAGAGUGUGAAGACAACAGUGCAGAGGGUUGCAUGAAGACGACGAGAGAAAACAGCACAGAGUAAAUCCUGCUGCAAGAUGCAGGGACAUCCCUGACUCGGUGACUCAUUUUCCACUCCAGCGCUGCUCCCUCACACAGCUGAGUUAUUCGUGUGCCUACUCACUCUGUGCACCAGAACAACAAGGCAUCAUCACUUUUCUAUUUAAACAGUCCAUCUGUGCACUUUCCAAACACUAGCGCUGCUGACGACGCCAGAAAAUGUGACUGGGCCAGCUGGGACGCCAUUGUCAGGCCAGUAGCACGGCAGAAGGCCAGCAGAUUGGUGCCCUAAAAUAAAAAAGAGGAACACACAAAGAAGGCA